rnacentral:rRNA from 1 species
CCCGCUCAGAAACUACAAAGGAAUUGACGGGGGCCCGCACAAGCGGAGGAACAUGUGGGUUUAAUUCGAUGAUACGCGAGGAACCUUACCCGGGCUUGAAAUGCAUCUGACCGGCCUUGAAAGAGGCAAUCCCUUCGGGGCAGAUGUGUAGGUGCUGCAUGGUUGUCGUCAGCUCGUGCCGUGAGGUGUCGGCUUAAGUGCCAUAACGAGCGCAACCCUCAUCAUUAGUUACCAUCAGGUAAGGCUGGGGACUCUAAUGAGACUGCCAUCGUAAGAUGUGAGGAAGGUGGGGAUGACGUCAAGUCAGCACGGCCCUUACGUCCGGGGCGACACACGUGUUACAAUGGGUGGUACAAAGGGCAGCUACCUGGCGACAGGAUGCUAAUCUCGAAAACCGCUCUCAGUUCGGAUCGGAGUCUGCAACUCGACUCCGUGAAGCUGGAUUCGCUAGUAAUCGCGCAUCAGCCACGGCGCGGUGAAUACGUUCCCGGGCCUU